CCCCGGAAGCCGCGCGGAGCCGAGGGCGGGUGUGGGCACGGCCACUCCCGCCUGCGCCCUCCCGGGCAAGUGCAGGUCCUGGCUCCCAGUCCAUCCCGGGAGGUUUACGCCCGGCGCGCGCCUGCCUGGGGCAGGGCUGCCCCCGGUCUAGGAAAGGCUUACGCUGUCUCUCCCGCGGGUUUAUUGAGCCUGUCUCUGGGAACUUAGUAAGUAAGGGAGGGGAGAGCUGUGGCCAGCGCCUGGAUGCUGUGAGCAUGUAACAGGGAAACCCAGUUUAGAUUGCAAUCAGAAAGCCUGUUUUGAAUGGCUUUGACAUUUGAGGGAGGGUGGGGGAAACUCCUUAUUCAACGGAGAUGGAAGGGAGGAAGGAAGGGAUCACGGAUGACCCCGAGUUGAGCACCGUUCUCUAAGAUAAAGAGGCUUGAGAAGUUUGGCAGGGAAGUGGUGAAGAUCAAGAGUUGCGUUUUGGACAUGUGAAUCCGAGGAGAAAUGACAUCUGCAUAGAUGGAUAUGUGGGGCUGAAGCUCACCAAGAGUGACAAGGCUGGAGAUAGUAAUCAGUAUCGGAAUACUGAUGGUAUUUGAAGCCGUGGAAUUGGAUGGCAUUGCCUCCCAUAGAGCCAUAAAGUGAAAAAACCAACCUGCAGAGGCUGAGAAGAGGAAUCAGUAAAGGACAACAAGCAGAGCCGGCCAGAGAAGUACACAGAAACCUAGGGGUGGGGGAGGCCUCUGGGGCUGAGUGAAGAACUGUUUCAGGAGAUGGGGUAAGUCCACUUUGACAAAGGCUGCUGAGAAGUCAGAGAGAGUGCUGAAAAGUGUCCCCCACUUUUACCCCAAGGAAGACACUGAUACUUGCAUGGGGGGACCAUCACUGCAGGGACUGGGAGGCAGAGCCACAGGGCAGGCAGCGGGUUGGAAUGAGAAUGGGAAGUGAGGAAGAGGUGAUAGGCAGCAGAUUCCUAGUAACCGAUCUGGAGAAGCUUGUCCCUGAGAGGAGCGGAGGAAUGGACAUGGAGGUGGCCCAGGGUGGGAGGAAGUAGGAAUGAGUUAGGUUUUUCAAAUGAAAGCAGCAGCAAGGCCGUGCAUACUGUACUGAGCAUAAGAACAUUCCAAGUCUCUUGUGGAGCCCAGGAAUCUGUAGAGGCCAGGGACCUCUGAGACAGAGUUGGAGGAUUAUAUUUAUGAACAGCGGACUGCGGCAUCUUUGUGUGAGAAUGGUUUAGCAGAGAGACAACGAUGGAAUAUACAGAGAAGACGAGAUAUCCAAGUGAGGAUCACAGAAUCAUUCCACCCACGUCCUGCCGUCACCUAUCAGCAUACGUGCGGAAGACCCAUCCCACCCCAUGCUGUCCCCCCAGCUGCUCCCCUGCGACCAUUCUUCACCACCUCCAGGAGCCUCCUUUGUCCUACCUUUUCUGCCCAGUCUAUUGCCCCCUCCUUCCCUUCCCUCCUCAUCCAGCUGCAAUUCCGUGUUCCUCCAUGCCAGUACUGGUUUUGCUGUUACCCUCAACAUCCUUGCUCCUCGGUCCUUGUCACACUCGCCUGACAGAGCCUGAGCCCAGAUGCACUCCACCUGCGUUCUCUGCACCUGCCCCUGCAGGAGGAGCGGCACAGCCGGGCAGCAGCAGCGGUAGGAACGCCAACGGCCCUCGGUCCUGCCUGGCUCUCCUCCAUUCCCUGCAAAGACACGGCCAAGCCUUCUCCGCUCUCCUCAGCCUGCCUGCAGCCCUUCCCAGACACCUACCUGGCCUCUGCUUAUGGGGAAAAGCGAAGUCAUCAGACGGUAACGCAUGGUCCAGCCCACCAUUGCUGCCCCUCCGCCUUUCCUAGCCUCCAUGGAGCCAGAAAAAUGCCUGUCCUGCCCAAGAAAGUCUUCAGAUCCCAUUUCGCACUUUCUCAGAAAACUUAAGGUGUUGAUUAUCACACCUCUCCUCACAACCUGGCUCCUAGAAAUGGUCUUCCACUUUGCUGCUCUCUUUCUUCUUAAAAACACAACAACUGAGCUGAAGACAAACACAAAAAAACUUUCCUGAAACCCUUAUGUGUCUCCAGCUAUGACCCCCUUUCUCUCCUUCACAGCACACUUCUCCGAAGAGUUGUGAUGCUCUGCCCCCACUUCCCCAACCUUACCCCACUCCAGUUUGCCUUCGGCCCCAUCACUGGAAACAAAAGAGCGCUCAUGAAGGUCCCCAGGGAGCUCCAUGUCACUAUGUUCAUGACAACUUUUCAGUCAUUUUAUGGACUCCGUACCUUUUAAUCACUCCCUCAUUCUCAUGAAACUUUGUUGAUAUUUAUGUUGGUCCUUCCUUGAGUAAAUCUGUUCCUGUUGUACACGAGAUCCACGAGGGGAGGGCUGUGUGUCUGUACUGCGGUCUGUCCCUCGGCCCUUACAUCCAGUUGCCUACUUCUUCUCACCUCCACUAGGGUGCCUCAGAGCACUUGGAAACCAGCAUCUCUAAACCAACCCUCCUGACCUUCGCCACCAGGGUCCUCUCUCAGGGUCCCAUAUCCCUGUCAGUGGCACCUCCGCCCACGCAAGUGCACAAAUCAAGAAGCUGGAGUCAUCCUGGACACUUCUCACCCUCUUACCAUCCCCCAUGCCCAAAGGCCAAUAGACCAUCGAUAAGGAAAAUCUGGAGAUUGAGGAACCCCCAUGGUUCACUACUCCAACCUUCCCUACAGAAGAGCAUAUUUGGAACAAGAGCCCCACAAGAAUGUUGGCCAAGAGCAGGGAGGAAGUAGUGCAGUUGGGGGCGGGGAGGGGACGAGGUGCUCAGAAAAGACUUGCCUUCCUUCAAUGCUGGGCAUCUUAUCCCUCUUCCCAGAGAGUUAGAUUCAGUCAGCUAUGGCAGAGUUUUGUUCCCAACAGAGCCAGGCUUAAUUUCUGUGCACCUCACCUUGGGUCUGCAAGCAGCACUGAGAACUGCCGGGUGAUGGGUGAGAGGUCCCCGAACACAGUGGUCUUGACAGUGGCUGUGGCCCAGGAAAUGCAGAGCAUCUGGGAAGCCACUGCAGGCCACGCAGAAUCCGAGGAUCUGGAACUACCUUGGCAAACCAAAUCUUUGCCUCUCCAUGGUCCAUUUCUUUCAGUCACAAACGUAUUUGUUUCUGUAUAGUUGAGCAUUAAAGACAUUGAUUGUUUGCCUCAUGCCCAUAUAGAAUUCCCUAUUCU